rnacentral:lncRNA from 1 species
UUUGCAGCAAAUAUGGCAGUUCACAACUUCAUUUUAUUAUAAACAAUAAAACUUAUUGAAUCCAGCUAAAUUUAGCUCAUAAAUAAUGAUCUGAUUUAAUAAAUCUCUUUAUCCAUAGUAAAUAUAUGAUCCUGGUAUCUUCGCAAUCAGGUAUUAUUGGAGUGAAAAUAAUAGCUAGUGUAUGAGGUGCAUGUGCUCUCGUCUAUUUGACACUUAUCUCAGUAGAGUAUUCGCUUUGUUUAAUUUUUAAAAUAAACUCAGCUAAAAAUAUGAAAUAAUUUAGUUUUGAGCUUAAGAUCCCGAAUAACAAUCACUGAGCCUUAACCAAUUACGCCAGAUAC